AUAGGGCUACAACAGGCCAAAGAGAUAAUUCCAUCCAGUUCUAACCUGGUGAACCAAUGAGUUUAAUUGAACACUUAUAGAGCAUGAGAAAAGGGUUAUUUUCAAGAGCAUGAGCCAUUUACAGGUUUCUGCACCACCAAGGGAGAAUAUUUCUGUUUGCUUAUUGGUUUGGAUUAGUUUGGGUGUGUAUGUGCGUAUUUGUGUGUGUUGGAGUUGUUAACUGCCUGUAUAUUAUUGAGAAGGGAUGAACCCACAGCUUCCUGUCCUUAUGAGCCUUACAAGCUUCAUGACACUUCCUGAUGAGUAGAUGCUGGUGGGCCCAACCUUGUGAAGAACUAAUGUGAUGAUAUCAAGAUGGUUAGAGGAAACAUGUAGAAGGUGGGCUUUGCUUCUCUGGCUCUCAGUUUCUUCAUCCUUCCGAGAUUUGUCUCAAGGAUGACUUGAGUUACUGACAGAAUGCAGUGGAGUCAGGGUGAGAAUGAAAAUAUCAGACAUAGUUUUGAGACAUUUUCCACAUGUGCCUUACUUUUGUGCUGUGGUUCCCAGUGGUUGAUCAUUUUUACUCUAAAGGCCUAAAAGAUAACACUGACUGAGGAGUGAUAUCACACACACACACACACACACACACACACACACUCCCCACUCUGCCCCCCCUCAAUUGGGCAGGAAGCGCAAUGCACACUUUGCGCAGCCUUGAGGUCUGCAUUUGGUCAAGGCUGCUCUAAAGGAAAGCAGAGUGGUUGAUUUUACCCUUUAGAGCACUGGGAGAGCUGUGUAUAGUGAGGCCACACUGUGGGCCUAAUUAUGUGGCAGACACAAAUUACUUCAGCACUUGGUUCAGUCCAGCAUUAAAUUUGCCAAAGCAAAUAGUUUAUUAAUCUUACCUCUCCCCCCCAAAUUAGACACAUUGGCUUUUUCUAAAAAUGGGAAUGAUUGGAGUGCAUUGUGGGCUUUUAAAAUCUCUCCUUCUCUAUCUGCCCUCUACUCCCAUCCUCAAAGGUGAGCAGUGCGUUCCUCUCCUUGAAUGGAGAAGGUGAUUUUCAUUACUGCCUACUUACCUCUUCUCACAUUUUUGAAACUAAGUGAUGGAAACAUAGCCUGUGAAGGGUGUGUGGAUUUUAAGACAGGGUCAGACUGGCUUUGGACUUGGCUAUGUAGCAGAGGAUGACCUUAAACUGUUGAUCCUCUUGCUUCCACUCCCAAGUGCUGGGGUUAGAGGUGUGCUUCACCGUGCUUCACUCAUUCAUUUCAAGGCCAAAGAAAGAGUCUACUGUUAGAAUGGAACUUUACUGACUGGGAAUUCUUAGGAUUCUGAUUGAGGCUACAUGCAAGGAAAACUGUUGGGUGAGUUCUGUUAGUGACCUUGAAUGUGUCUGGGAAGAUCAGCUAUAAUUUUAUAUGUAGUGAGGGAAUAAGUGAUGUCAGCAGGGCUUCCUACCUGACACCCUGAAUCUGGCCACAAAGACUGCUGGGUAAAGGAAAAUUCACAGGGUUCAUACCUAGUAUUAUGGUUUGUUCCUAUCUCUAGGAGAAAAAACUGCCUGUAAACAAGCAUGCAUCCUUACCUUACCUCACUCCAGAAAACAGCUCUGUAGCCUCCCAGAUAGCCUCUACCUGUCGUCAUGUCCAGAUAGCCUCUACCUGUCAGUCAUGUCCAGAUAGCCUCUACCUGUCAUGUCCAGAUAGCCUCUACCUGUCAUGUCCAGAUAGCCUCUACCUGUCAUGUCCAGAUAGCCUCUACCUGUCAUGUCCAGAUAGCCUCUACCUGUCAUGUCCAGAUAGCCUCUACCUGUCAUGUCCAGAUAGCCUCUACCUGUCAUGUCCAGAUAGCCUCUACCUGUCAUGUCCAGAUAGCCUCUACCUGUCAUGUCCAGAUAGCCUCUACCUGUCAUGUCCAGAUAGCCUCUACCUGUCAUGUCCAGAUAGCCUCUACCUGUCAUGUCCAGAUAGCCUCUACCUGUCAUGUCCAGAUAGCCUCUACCUGUCAUGUCCAGAUAGCCUCUACCUGUCAUGUCCAGAUAGCCUCUACCUGUCAUGUCCAGAUAGCCUCUACCUGUCAUGUCCAGAUAGCCUCUACCUGUCAUGUCCAGAUAGCCUCUACCUGUCAUGUCCAGAUAGCCUCUACCUGUCAUGUCCAGAUAGCCUCUACCUGUCAUGUCCAGAUAGCCUCUACCUGUCAUGUCCAGAUAGCCUCUACCUGUCAUGUCCAGAUAGCCUCUACCUGUCAUGUCCAGAUAGCCUCUACCUGUCAUGUCCAGAUAGCCUCUACCUGUCGUCAUGUCCAGAUAGCCUCUACCUGUCAUGUCCAGGCUGACCUGUUGGGAGUUAUCAGCUUUGAAGUCUUAAGGUGCCAUUUUAAUACUUUCUUUAUGGUGCAGGUUUCGAGAGCAAUUUAACUAGAUUCUGGGGGGAGCUUAUUUUACAGCAUUCUUAAGAGCUCCGACAAUCUUGAAAGAGUUAAACUCUAAUUAGCUCAUUCCUAAGGUAUUUAAUGCCCUUAUUAAAACUCAACUGCUUGUUCACUUUUUUUCUUUAGUGAAUCAGAUUUCUUGAGGAGCUGAGCCCUCGCUCCUCAGAUCACAGGCUCACAUGUUGAAGCUGGCAGUGCUAGAGGCUAGUUCCUAUCUGUGUGACAGCAUUUUUAAUUUAACAGGACUGCCUUUGAUGUUCCCAAAUAUUUAUAGGCAGCUUUAGAUCAUUUCAGUAUGUGUUUCUUUUUCUCUUCUUCUGUCUUGCUCUUAAAAAAAAAAAAAAAACCAAAAAAACUGGAGCAAAAGUUAUUCCUCAUGCAACAGCUUUCUUUUUAUCCCGCUGGUUUAUUUUUGCUUGCUUUGCAGCCUUGAUGAAGACUCUGGCUGCAUUCACACAUAGGAGGCCAACUCUUCUUCUGGCCUCUACAGUAAAGGCUAUCCCUUCUGUAUCAUAUGGCCCACUUGAGUUUGCUUGAGGCACUUCUGUUUGUCCCUUGACUUUUUUUUGUUUGUCUCUUGACCUUCUCAGAGUUCCUUUUGAGAAUUUGUUUUCUGACCACCUGAAAGCAUUCAGACUCUCGUGGCGCCUUAUGCAGUUUUUGUGGAAGAUGAUCAAUGUCCAUGUCUUGCUCUGCCUGUCUGCUUUCUCUGACUCUCCAGAAGGUGGGACUUACAAAGGGCCCUUGGAGAUAAUGGUCUCUUGAUUGUAGGCUUGCUUCAUGUGGCUGUACUAGACUUGUCUAAAACACUAGAGAAUCAAAGACUUAAGACUCAGGAAUGGGAUAAACAAGGUUAUAGCGGAGAGACUUGUUAAGCCACUAAGAAAAAUAAAGAAACUUUGUACCAAUGGAAACAUGUGGCAGAGAGAGAGAGAGAGAGAGAGAGAGGACAGCGGCUUGUCAGUGUAGGCUCAGGUAAACAUUCUGCUUGUGAAACAAUCCAAGUUUUUGAACUCUUGGCUCUCUGUUACUUACCUGGCUGGGACAGGCAGAAACCAGGACACUUCAUGACUGCCUUCAGCUUUGCUGGCUCUGCCUGCUACUACAUGGUAGCUUUGUGGGGCUGAAGGUCAAGUAGGUGGUUGAUGAAAUGUUUGAAUGAAUGGAUGCUCUGUUAAGGCACUGUCCUUGGGCUUUUACACUGUGUCCCCAGAUCCUCAGGAGGACUCUGAAUGGUGAGGUUUCCUCCCAUGAUUUUGGAUGAGGACACCAAAGGGCAGCGUAAUUUAACACAGCUUUAAUUGAAUCUGGAACUCAGGACUGUGUAGCCUGACUACAUGGUAGUUCUGGGUAGGUGUAUACAGUGGUGGUCUGCUAGGCUCUUAUGGGUAGCUGUAUACAAUGGUGAUCUGCUAGGUUCUUACAGGUUUU
rnacentral:lncRNA from 1 species